rnacentral:rRNA from 1 species
GACGAACCGUGCAAACGUUAUUCGGAAUCACUGGGCAUAAAGGGCGCGUAGGCGGCUUUCUAAGUCAGGGGUGAAAUCCGGCAGCUCAACUGUCGCAGUGCCUUUGAUACUGGAGAGCUCGAGGGAGGUAGGGGUCUGUGGAACUUCCGGUGGAGCGGUGAAAUGCGUUGAUAUCGGAAGGAACGCCGGUGGCGAAAGCGACGUACUGGACCUCUUCUGACGCUGAGGCGCGAAAGCUAGGGGAGCAAACGGG